rnacentral:rRNA from 1 species
GGGGAGCUGACGUCGAUGUGCCGCUAUACAUGCAAGUCGAGCGAACUUGCGGGAGCUUGCUCCCAAAAGUUAGCGGCGGACGGGUGAGUAACACGUGGGCAACCUGCCUGUAAGACUGGGAUAACUUCGGGAAACCGGAGCUAAUACCGGAUAAUUCUUAUCAACACAUGUUGAUAAGCUGAAAGUCGGUUUCGGCUGACACUUACAGAUGGGCCCGCGGCGCAUUAGCUAGUUGGUGAGGUAACGGCUCACCAAGGCAACGAUGCGUAGCCGACCUGAGAGGGUGAUCGGCCACACUGGGACUGAGACACGGCCCAGACUCCUACGGGAGGCAGCAGUAGGGAAUCUUCCACAAUGGACGAAAGUCUGAUGGAGCAACGCCGCGUGAGCGAUGAAGGCCUUCGGGUCGUAAAGCUCUGUUGUUAGGGAAGAACAAGUAUCGGAGUAACUGCCGGUACCUUGACGGUACCUAACCAGAAAGCCACGGCUAACUACGUGCCAGCAGCCGCGGUAAUACGUAGGUGGCAAGCGUUGUCCGGAAUUAUUGGGCGUAAAGCGCGCGCAGGCGGUCCUUUAAGUCUGAUGUGAAAGCCCACGGCUCAACCGUGGAGGGUCAUUGGAAACUGGGGGACUUGAGUGCAGAAGAGGAAAGCGGAAUUCCACGUGUAGCGGUGAAAUGCGUAGAGAUGUGGAGGAACACCAGUGGCGAAGGCGGCUUUCUGGUCUGUAACUGACGCUGAGGCGCGAAAGCGUGGGGGAGCAAACAGGAUUAGAUACCCCUGGUAGUCCACGCCGUAAAC